AUUGAACGCUGGCGGCAGGCCUAACACAUGCAAGUCGAGCGGGGUUUUCGGACCUAGCGGCGGACGGGUGAGUAAUGCGUAGGAAGCUGCCCGAUAGAGGGGGAUACCAGUUGGAAACGACUGUUAAUACCGCAUAAUGUCUACGGACCAAAGUGUGGGACCUUCGGGCCACAUGCUAUCGGAUGCGACUGCGUGGGAUUAGCUAGUUGGUGAGGUAAUGGCUCACCAAGGCGACGAUCUCUAGCUGGUUUGAGUGGAUGAUCAGCCGCACUGGAGCGAGGACACGGUCCGGACUCCGACGGGGGGCAGCGGUGGGGAAUAUUGGACAAUGUGCGCAAGCCUGAUCCAGCCGUGCCGCGGUUGUGAAGAAGGCCUUCGGGUUGUAAAGCACUUUCAGCGAGGAGGAAGGGUGGUGUGUUAAUAGCACAUCAUGUUGACGUUACUCGCAGAAGAAGCACCGGCUAACUCUGUGCCAGCAGCCGCGGUAAAAC
rnacentral:rRNA from 1 species